CGUAGGGUGCGAGCGUUAAUCGGAAUUACUGGGCGUAAAGCGUGCGCAGGCGGUUUAGUAAGACAGGCGUGAAAUCCCCGGGCUCAACCUGGGAACUGCGCUUGUGACUGCUAAGCUAGAGUACAGCAGAGGGGGGUGGAAUUCCACGUGUAGCAGUGAAAUGCGUAGAGGUGUGGAGGAACACCAAUGGCGAAGGCAGCCCCCUGGGUCGAUACUGACGCUCAUGCACGAAAGCGUGGGUAGCAAACAGGAUUAGAUACCCUGGUAGUCCACGCCCUAAACGAUGUCAACUAGGUGUUGGGAGGGUAAAACCUUUUAGUACCGGAGCUAACGCGUGAAGUUGACCGCCUGGGGAGUACGGCCGCAAGGUUA
rnacentral:rRNA from 1 species